GGGAUACGGUUAGUUGCGUUUUUAAGCUUCCUGGCCCCAAACGAAAACGGGUCCUUUUUUACGGGGCCCCUUAGAUGCUGGGAAACUGCUUGAUGGAGGGGGAUAACUUUUGUAAAGGGUAGCUAAUACCGCAAACGUCGCAAGACCAAAGUGGGGGACCUUCGGGCCUCAUGCCAUCAGAUGUCCCCAGAUGGGAUUAGCUGGUAGGUGGGGUAACGGCUCACCUAGGCGACGAUCCCUAGCUGGUCUGAGAGGAUGACCAGCCACACUGGAACUGAGACACGGUCCAGACUCCUACGGGAGGCAGCAGUGGGGAAUAUUGCACAAUGGGCGCAAGCCUGAUGCAGCCAUGCCGCGUGUGUGAAGAAGGCCUUCGGGUUGUAAAGCC
rnacentral:rRNA from 1 species